rnacentral:rRNA from 2 species
GUGACCCCAGGUCAGGCGGGGCCACCCGCUGAGUUUAA